UUGAUACCGGCUCAGGUUGAUCGAGAUUUGCUAUUGGUCCGCUGUCCGGAGACUCAAGCAAGUGAAAUGUUAGGCGCCAUCACGAUCCCGUCGGUGGGAAAUUUCGGGUCGUGACAAUGCAUAGGAAAGCAAAAAGAAGCUAAGCAGUUAUCACGAUGAUGAGAAUCCUGAGGCGAUGGAAUGCAGGGUUUUCUUCUGGUCUCAUUAUUCCUGAGAAAUACCCUGAGGAAACGACUACAAGAAGACAAUCUUAUAACUUAAGGAGCGUACUUGAUCCAAAUGAUUUGAUGAUAUCAAGGGCAAAGAAGAAUCUUAGAGGCCAAAUUCUGAGGUCCAUGAUGAUGAUGAGGAGGAGGAGGAUAGUGGGCAGGUUAGGGAAACAAUGUGAUAGUUGUUAUCUUUCUGCAUAGUGAAUUUUUUUUGGUUGGAAAGAAGUGGACUAAUUUUGGAAUUACCAAAUUUUCUUUGCAGCCAGGGUACUUAUCUCUUCCAUAAUGGAUCUUACAAAAUUAUAUCUUUCGUUCAUCAAAGAUUUGAUAGGUAUUUACUUGCACUUUUGAAGGAUGAUGGAUCAGAUGGUGUUCUUUAUGUGCUCUAAGAUGCAAACCUUUUUUAUAUUAUUGUGUAUUCAAUCUGUAUAGUUAUAUGCUUUUGAUGAAAUGGAUAAGACUAGAGACCUGAAUUACUUUUAUAUCAUGAUCUGCAGUGCAGAAAGUCUCCUAUUAUGUACAUGUGAAAGGAAAAGUUAUUGGUAGUGUUUCCUUAUUUUUACUGACUAA